rnacentral:rRNA from 1 species
UACGUAGGCAGCGAGCGUUGUUCGGAGUUACUGGGCGUAAAGAGUGCGUAGCCGGUUCUACAAGUCUUCCGUUAAAUCCACCUGCUUAACAGAUGGGCUGCGGAAGAUACUAUAGAGCUAGGAGGCGGGAGAGGCAAGCGGUACUCGAUGGGUAGGGGUAAAAUCCGUUGAUCCAUUGAAGACCACCAGUGGCGAAGGCGGCUUGCCAGAAUGCGCUCGACGGUGAGGGAUGAAAGCUGGGGGAGCAAACCGG